rnacentral:tRNA from 1 species
GCCCUUGUCGUUCAAUGGAUAGGACGGCGGCCUGCGGAGCUGCAAAUCCAGGUUCGACUCCUGGCAAGGGCA